UACGGGGGGGGCAAGCGUUGUUCGGAAUUACUGGGCGUAAAGGGCGCGUAGGCGGCCUUCUAAGUCGGACGUGAAAUCCCUCGGCUUAACCGAGGAACUGCGUCCGAUACUGAAAGGCUUGAAUCCGGGAGGGGGAUGUGGAAUUCCAGGUGUAGCGGUGAAAUGCGUAGAUAUCUGGAGGAACACCGGUGGCGAAGGCGGCAUCCUGGACCGGUAUUGACGCUGAGGCGCGAAAGCUAGGGGAGCAAACGGG
rnacentral:rRNA from 1 species